CUUACCCAUCAUGUUAUAAUUUAACUGUUUUUCCCUUUGAAGGUCACAGACUUAAAAGACUUGUCCAAGGUCACAUAACUAUUGAGUGUCAAAGUCAGUGCUCAACCCCAGUCUGAAAUCCAGGUUACUGCCAAGACAGACUCUGAAUUAUAUCACUGAGCUGUGCUUAGUUAUGAAUCACUUUAUAAGCUCUCAGACAGUAUAGUAUUAACUUCAUUUUAUUGCUUCUUAUACAACAUCUCACAUACAGUUGCACUUCGUAAAUGAUUUUGAUAAUUGUCAUACCAAUGAUCAGAAAAAAGCUCGUGGUUCUUGGGGAACCACAGAGAGAUUAUUGUUCAGGUCUGCUGAGGCCACAAAGCUCCACAGGGCUCCUAAGUCCUUGGCAUCAUCCAGUGUCGGUAGCUGUAGGGUUCACUUUGGGGCAUGGUUUAAUAAGGGCAAGCUGUCAACAGAGAUGGAUACUGGAAGCAGCUUAUUCAAAGAUGGCACAAGAAGACGGCCUCAAACUCUUUAAGUUAAAGGAGUCAUAACCCAGUGUCGUGUUAGAGAAAUCACUACAUCCUGCCUGGACACACAGGCUGGGAAAAGGAGCAAAUGGCAAAUCAGCAUGGGAGGUGGGGGAGUGUGGAGAUUUGGGAAGUGGGGUGAAACUUGUAGGUAUGGAGAUUGGCCUCUGAACAUAAUUCCUGCAAAAUCAUCCAGGUGUCUUCUCAGGAACACAGGCACUAGGUCAAACAAAUGCUGGUAUCUCCAUUUCUGUGGGCAGACAACCAAAGAAAACCCUCCAGGCCAGCCCUUGUUCAUCAAGAUGUAUGCUGCAGGCAGCGACUUCUCAAAGGCCUUGGCACAAUCGUGGCAAAGCCAUUACCUGUGCGCGUGUCCUCUCUGAUGGGGCACCCUAUAAUUCAUCUGCCUGAAGGCGGUGCCUUUUCUCUAGUCACCAAAAAGGGAUGGUACAUUCUAGGAGCCAUCCUGGAUUGUGGCAAACUGGCAGCCACUACUCAACUCCAGUUACCAUGUAGGAAAUCGGGCCCAGUGUUGCCAAAACUUCAACUUCUUUUAAGAAGGGCCAAACUUCAGAUUUCUUUUUACAUGAAAAUCUCCUGGCUUGUACUUUUUGGCAACAACCCAAAUCAUUGUAAGUGUUGUACAAGC
rnacentral:lncRNA from 1 species